rnacentral:rRNA from 1 species
CGAAAGCCUGACGGAGCAACGCCGCGUGAGGGAUGGAGGCCUUUGGGCUGUAAACCUCUUUUCUCAAGGAAGAAGAUCUGACGGUACUUGAGGAAUAAGCCACGGCUAAUUCCGUGCCAGCAGCCGCGGUAAUACGGGAGUGGCAAGCGUUAUCCGGAAUUAUUGGGCGUAAAGCGUCCGCAGGCGGCCGUUUAAGUCUGUUGUUAAAUCGUGGAGCUCAACUCCAUCACGGCAAUGGAAACUGUUCGGCUUGAGUAUGGUAGGGGCAGAGGGAAUUUCCGGUGUAGCGGUGAAAUGCGUAGAUAUCGGGAAGAACACCAGUGGCGAAAGCGCUCUGCUGGGCCAUUACUGACGCUCAUGGACGAAAGCCAGGGGAGCGAAAGGGAUUAGAUACCCCUGUAGUCCUAGCCGUAAACGAUGAACACUAGAUGUUGGGGGAAUCGACCCCCUCGGUGUCGUAGCUAACGCGUUAAGUGUUCCGCCUGGGGAGUACGCACGCAAGUGUAAAACUCAAAGGAAUUGACGGGGGCCCGCACAAGCGGUGGAGUAUGUGGUUUAAUUCGAUGCAACGCGAAGAACCUUACCAAGGCUUGACAUCCUGCGAAUCUCUAAGAAAUUAGAGAGUGCCUUCGGGAACGCAGUGACAGGUGGUGCAUGGCUGUCGUCAGCUCGUGUCGUGAGAUGUUGGGUUAAGUCCCGCAACGAGCGCAACCCACGUUUUUAGUUGCCAGCAUUCAGUUGGGCACUCUAGAAAGACUGCCGGUGACAAACCGGAGGAAGGUGUGGACGACGUCAAGUCAUCAUGCCCCUUACGCCUUGGGCUACACACGUACUACGAUGCUGCGGACAAAGAGUAGCGAUCUUGCGAAAGUUAGCUAAUCUCAUAAACCGUGGCUCAGUUCAGAUCGUAGGCUGCAACUCGCCUACGUGAAGGAGGAAUCGCUAGUAAUCGCAGGUCAGCAUACUGCGGUGAAUACGUUCCCGGGCCUUGUACACUCCGCCCGUCACACCAUGGAAGUUGGCCAUGCCCGAAGUCGUUACUCUAACCUUUUGGAAGAGGGCGCCGAAGGCAGGGCUAAUGACUGGGGUGAAGUCGUAACAAGGUAGCCGUAGCGGAAGCUGCGGCUGGAUCACCUCCUAA